rnacentral:rRNA from 1 species
UACGGGGGGAGCAAGCGUUGUUCGGAUUUACUGGGCGUAAAGGGCGCGUAGGCGGCCACUGCAAGUCAGUUGUGAAAUCUCCGGGCUUAACCCGGAAAGGUCAACUGAUACUGCAGGGCUAGAGUGCAGAAGGGGCAACUGGAAUUCUCGGUGUAGCGGUGAAAUGCGUAGAUAUCGAGAGGAACACCGGCGGCGAAGGCGGGUUGCUGGGCUGACACUGACGCUGAGGCGCGAAAGCCAGGGGAGCGAACGGG